UAGGGAAUCUUCCGCAAUGGACGAAAGCCUGAUCCAGCCAUGCCGCGUGAGUGAAGAAGGCCUUCGGGUUGUAAAGCUCUUUUAGUCGGAAAGAAAGAGUUGCAAUGAAUAGUUGUGAUUUAUGACGGUACCGACAGAAAAAGCACCGGCUAACUACGUGCCAGCAGCCGCGGUAAUACGUAGGGUGCGAGCGUUAAUCGGAAUUACUGGGCGUAAAGGGUGCGCAGGCGGUCUUGCAAGUCAGAUGUGAAAGCCCCGGGCUUAACCUGGGAAUUGCGUUUGAAACUACAAGGCUAGAGUGCAGCAGAGGGGAGUGGAAUUCCAUGUGUAGCAGUGAAAUGCGUAGAGAUGUGGAAGAACACCGAUGGCGAAGGCAGCUCCCUGGGUUGACACUGACGCUCAUGCACGAAAGCGUGGGGAUCAAACA
rnacentral:rRNA from 1 species